GAUGAACGCUGGCGGCGUGCCUAAUACAUGCAAGUCGAGCGAACAGAUAAGGAGCUUGCUCCUUUGACGUUAGCGGCGGACGGGUGAGUAACACGUGGGUAACCUACCUAUAAGACUGGGAUAACUUCGGGAAACCGGAGCUAAUACCGGAUAACUUUUGGAACCGCAUGGUUCUAAAGUGAAAGAUGGUUUUGCUAUCACUUAUAGAUGGACCCGCGCCGUAUUAGCUAGUUGGUAAGGUAACGGCUUACCAAGGCAACGAUACGUAGCCGACCUGAGAGGGUGAUCGGCCACACUGGAACUGAGACACGGUCCAGACUCCUACGGGAGGCAGCAGUAGGGAAUCUUCCGCAAUGGGCGAAAGCCUGACGGAGCAACGCCGCGUGAGUGAUGAAGGGUUUCGGCUCGUAAAACUCUGUUAUUAGGGAAGAACAAAUGUGUAAGUAACUGUGCACGUCUUGACGGUACCUAAUCAGAAAGCCACGGCUAACUACGUG
rnacentral:rRNA from 1 species